rnacentral:rRNA from 1 species
UACGUAGGAUGCGAGCGUUGUCCGGAAUUAUUGGGCGUAAAGCGAACGUAGGCGGUUUCUUAAGAUUGGUCUUAAAGACCGGGCUCAACCCCGGGAAUGGAUCGAUAACUGGGAGACUGGAGGACGUCAGAGGAAAGUGGAAUUCCGAGUGUAGCGGUGAAAUGCGUAGAUAUUCGGAGGAACACCAGUGGCGAAAGCGGGUCUCUGGGCCGAUAUUGACGCUGAGGAGCGAAAGCGUGGGGAGCAAACAGG